rnacentral:misc_RNA from 1 species
GAGCAUUUUCCCGAUUUUGUAAAACCUGUUCGUGUUAAAUUAAAAGCAGAAGGAAGCAAAACAUACGUAUUGGUUCAUAACAAAGAAACGCUUGCUUUCCUGGCAAACCAGGGAAAUAUCCCCAUUCAUACCUGGCUUUCGCGGAAGGGGA